AUAAAUUUGAAGAAAUUAACUAACUUUCUAUGCAUCUGGACGAAGAGCGUGUGGCUGGAUGUGCUUAUUCUGUCUAUGCAAGUCUUCCUGCAGGUUGGUGUUUAAGCUAUACUUGUGUGAAUCGAGACCGCCAUCCCAUGGUUGCUCUCAGAUUUGUUCUCAGAGAGAUAAAUGGCUGUUACCCCCCGCCCACCUUUCUUUACAGGGUGGUUGUACUGAAACAAAAGACCACGUCCUUCAUAUAUUCAGUGCUGUGUUUUGACAUGCUGUGUAUUGAGUUAAACCUCUUCCCAGCUGCCAAAAACCUUCAACUUCACUUACCUAUGGCACGUAACUUUCAGUGCUCUGAAAAGUUAUCGAAGGGCAGGAGGGCACAGGAAAAGAAUAAAACAAAGAGAUUUUACAGCCAGACUACAGUGAACCUGCAGUAUAGUUAUACUGGUACCAUAAAGGAAUCAUUUUGGAUGCUGCUACUUUUGUUUGCCAAGGGAUUGAUUACCCCAGUUCAGCUGUCAGGGAGCAGAAAGAAUUAAACCAAAGUCUCCUGGAUCCCAGGAAAAUGGCAUUACCGAUACCUCAACAUUUGGAGCAUCACUCAACAGUGAGCCCUGUGGCUGACAGUGGAGAGCCCAGUUCUGCCAGAGUGCUGGAGAACAUCUACUGGGAAAUUCAGACCACCUGGGGAGGUAGCUCAGCAAGCAAGGAGGCUUCAGACUGGACCUGAAGUUUUUGAGACCUCAGUGUAACAUGACAGAAUUGCAGCACAGCUUUUCAGGGUACAUUUGUACAUGAAGAGACAUUCCAUGUUUAUUCAGGAAUGGCCCACACUGCAUUUAACUCUUGCUCAAAUACACAAGCUGAGCGAGGGCAGAGGCUGAGGAUGUGAGCCUGUUCCCACAGAAGAUCAGCUCCUACUGUAAGCUUGGCUCCUGCUCCAGGUUUCAUAGCGGUGGAGUAGAAAAGUCCCUUCCUUUAAACAGGGCCAAGUAGACCAGAGUCAACAAAAGGACUUUUCUUUCCAUGGCAUCCUGUGCCUGAGCAGAAAUCACUGAUGAAGCUGCUGGAUUUUGCCUGCAGACACCCGUGCAUGUGGACUUCUGCCAGCCCUACCACAGGAGGAGCAGAUACGUAGAGGGCUCCAAGUUGACUUUGAGGACCAAGAACCUCUUCAUCACUGCAUCGAGGUGUACCUCCCAGUUGAGGGACUGACCAUCCCAGGCACAUUGCCAGUGAAGAUUCUGUCUUGUAACGCCAAUUUCACAUCAUAUCUGCUUUGAUUUCUCAUCUCUAGUGCUAAGGAACUACCCAUAACAAGGAAUCUACUCAUAUCUACUCUACCCUCUCUCUUCCUUUUGUGCUUGUCGCUUUUUUUUUCAGGAGAUGCCUGUUUGUGGUUUGUGGUUUCCCACAUUCAAAGAAGAAACUGCGUACCUGGGCACAAUGUGCCCUCUGUCUUUUGCUACAUUUAUCCCUCUAAACGUCAGUGGCUAAAAGAGCAGAUGGCCUGGAUAUAUAAACUUUAUUACAGGUAACAGAAGAGGGGCUGUAGCAGAUGAGGACAUGCAGUACUCAUGUUUUUGUAAAUGGCCAGCUGGUUUCUUUAAAAUAGGAAGAAGAAAGGUCUGGCUUUCACUUGGAAUGCUGAGAUAGCCCAGAGUUUCAGAUAUAAUUCGCACCAUCAGGCACAGCAUAUAGUAAUCCUCCAUGAUGAUGUUUUAUGCCUUGGAAUCAGUUCUGCCUGUUCUGAUUCUUGUCUGUGAGUAAUGGGAGAUGGCAGUGCCAGAGUAGAAAGGAUUACCUGUGCUGUUAACUCUGCUGUAUUGGCAAUUUCUUCUCAUCUUAUUCUGUUUUCUUUUCUCUUAUCAAGCCCAUUUCUUUUUCUUUUGUUGGAGUGGUUUGUGAAAUAUAAAGAAAUAACAUGUUAUUUCUCUGAUUGUCUCCUCCUUGUAUGCGUGCACCAGGAGUGCAUGUGCUGUGUUCAAGGACUUCUAAAUGUCACACAGCUGAACCACAGCACUUCAGCCAUGUGACACUUGCAAGCUACAUUCAUGAGUAGCACAUGCCUUUCCUUAGUUCAGAACAGAUGUCAUUUCCCUUGGAAGAUCUCCUGGAUUCCUGAAAAUGAAGUUGGGUAAUUUUCUUUUAAGAGCUUCAGGUUAAUAAGUAUGUCUUCAAACUGCAGGAUAUGAAAGACAGCAAGUAGAUGUUUCUGAGAUAGUGAUCUUCCUUCCCUCCAAAACAAAUUGUGUUAAGUAGCUGCUCUUGGGGUGAUAGUUUCAGUGUAAAACGCUGCAGUGGCUACCUUUCUUUUCUCUAUAAUGCAGAGGCCCUGCAGCUGAAUCCCACAUAGGACAGGGAAUAUCAUCCUUUCUCAAGUCUACGCAAUGCUCUUCAUGUCCAGCAUACUUACAGAAGUUACAGAAUACUUCUUGCAAUGCCAUUCAGCAGAAAACAGCAAUAAAAAAAAAAAAAUCACACAUAUCUCACCUUUUCUGGCUGUAGGUCACCAGCACUGUUCUGGUGAAGUAUGCUGCUGGGUGGCUGAGGUGAUCAUGAAAGGAAACAGUGUUUUUAAGUGGUUGACAGGAAAACAGGUAGAGAGAGAGAAUUGUCACCUACUUUUAGUGUAAUGCUUUUUACGCCGAGAAGGAAGUGUGGGCUUGAGCAAGCAUGAAGCAGAAAGAAAGAAAUUUAUCAACUAAAAUGCUUGCAUGACUAUUACUAUGCCCGGGGAAAAAUAAAGCCGUUUUCUGACAGAUUAAAUUAGUACUGCAACCUUAGCAUAUAUUUCACUUUGCCUUAAAAAGAAACCAAUACUGUUUCGAAUUAAACGAGAUGUUUGUAGGAUUAUUGACAUGUGUUUCAUUUGUAUGAAAUGAACAGCAGAAAGAUCUGGAGGAGAGAAUGGUGGGGUUAAGUAUAUUCCUGGCUGCCAAUAUUUAUGCUUCCAGGUAAUUUAGAAAAAUCGGUUUUAUUGUUGCUCAUAUAGAAUCCCUUUAUCUCCUAUUUAGAGAAUCUUUUUGUAAUGCAAGUUCAUGAAGGGCUCUUCUACAUCUCUCCUCCAACUCGGUAAAAUUACAAUCUACAAUAAAGCUCAGUCUCUUUUAGUUGAGACAUUGCUGUGUUGAAUCGUGGAUUUGCUUGCAGGACAGACUGGAUGUGUAUGUAUGAACAUCACACUGCAGGAAAUACAGAAACCUGCACUAUGGUGAGCUUCACUGCGUGUCACCUGGUGUGCAGCUACAAGUGGCUGUUUCAGUAAUCAGGAUCUACAGAAGGUAGGGACAUGUCAAAG
ensembl:lncRNA